rnacentral:lncRNA from 1 species
AUGUGUUUUAAGCAUAUGUUUUGUUGUGCUAUCUUUUUUUCAAUCCCCCAAAUUUGGUUUUAUUAUUUAUGUCAAAAUCUCCUCAAAUUCAUUGCAUGCUGGCCAGUUUCUGGGCUGCAAUAUUGCAUUGUCAGAGACAGUUCAAUAGAACUUCAGCAGAUACUCCAUGCGCAGGCUGUUUAAGAGAAUGUUUUGACUUGUAAGACCUUCACCAUCAGCGGUGGUCAGGUCCUCUUGAUGUACUGUGAACUCUGACUGAACCCUCUGUAGUGGUCUGACUGGUUCUAGGGCAGUGUGGGUCUGCAGGUUGCUGGAGAGGUGAGAGUUAGAUUGCCUAGAGUCUUGCAAAGACAAGUCCCAGGUCAACCCAGGUAGUGGCUGACCCAGGGCCAGGAUGAGAGUCCAGUCUGACUCAGUACGUGUGGUGUCCCUAGUGUAAUAGACAUGAUUGAACCCACAACAGAGUCCAAAGAAGGCACCAUUUACUUUAUCAGGGUGUAUUAGCCUGUGGACAGGAGUUUGGACAGUGAGAGAAGAUGGGAUGUCCAUAACUUAGACUCCUAAAGAUUUGCUGUGGGAAGAAACUUCAAAUAGUAUAACAUUUCCUCUUCAGGGAGAAAUAAUAUAAGCUCAUACACCAUUGCAUUUCAUUUUUGUUUUUGUUUUGUGGUUCUUUACAUAGAAUUUACUUCUUACUUUCUUACUUAAAAUACCAUGAAAGCAAAGAUUAUCAACAUUUUUAAUAAGUACCAUGAAAAGAAAAAUUGCCUUUCAGUGCCUGAAAUGGGUUCCUUGUAUUUUCUGUCUCAGAAUCAAACUCUGCUGUUAGCUUCUAGGACACAGGAUGGUUUAUGUAUUUCUCUUAUCUAUAAGCUAUAAUCCCCAAUUCUGUUGCUUUGAACAAAAUAUUAUCUGUUAGAUCCAUUAAGAAUGAGAAAAUUAAGACUUUUAUUCACUUAUUCUUUCUUCCUUUAUUUGUGUAGAUCCAAGUUUCUGACCUAUAUCAAUUUUUCUUCUCUGAAGAACUUCUGAUACUUUUUGCAAAUCAGUUCUGUUGGCAACAAACUCCCUCCAUUUAUGUUUGUCUGAGAAAGUCUGUGUCUCUUUCCUUUUAAAGGAUAAUUCUCACU